GCGUUGGUGGUUUAGUGGUAAAAUUCAUCGUUGCCAAACACGUGAUUAGUGUGGUUGAGCGUUAACUCAACACCAUGAGGACAUCACGACAAUUGCUGUCUCGAUGAGCCCCGGGUUCGAUUCCCGGCCGACGCA